rnacentral:rRNA from 1 species
UGGGGAAUAUUGGACAAUGGGCGAAAGCCUGAUCCAGCCAUGCCGCGUGUGUGAAGAAGGUCUUCGGAUUGUAAAGCACUUUAAGUUGGGAGGAAGUGCAUUAACCUAAUACGUUAGUGUUUUGACGUUACCGACAGAAUAAGCACCGGCUAACUCUGUGCCAGCAGCCGCGGUAAUACAGAGGGUGCAAGCGUUAAUCGGAAUUACUGGGCGUAAAGCGCGCGUAGGUGGUUUGUUAAGUUGGAUGUGAAAUCCCGGGGCUCAACCUGGGAACUGCAUUCAAAACUGACUGACUAGAGUAUGGUAGAGGGUGGUGGAAUUUCCUGUGUAGCGGUGAAAUGCGUAGAUAUAGGAAGGAACACCAGUGGCGAAGGCGACCACCUGGACUAAUACUGACACUGAGGUGCGAAAGCGUGGGGAGCAAACA